UACGUAGGGGCCUAGCGUUGUCCGGAUUUAUUGGGCGUAAAGAGCUCGUAGGCGGUUCGGUAAGUCAGGUGUGAAAUCUCCACGCUCAACGUGGAGGCGCCACCUGAAACUGCCGUGACUCGAGUCCGGUAGGGGAGUGUGGAAUUCCCGGUGUAGCGGUGAAAUGCGCAGAUAUCGGGAGGAACACCGGUGGCGAAAGCGACGCACUGGACCUCUUCUGACGCUGAGGCGCGAAAGCCAGGGGAGCAAACGGG
rnacentral:rRNA from 1 species